rnacentral:rRNA from 1 species
AUUGAACGCUGGCGGCAGGCUUAACACAUGCAAGUCGAGCGGGGGAAGGUAGCUUGCUACCGGACCUAGCGGCGGACGGGUGAGUAAUGCUUAGGAAUCUGCCUAUUAGUGGGGGACAACAUCUCGAAAGGGAUGCUAAUACCGCAUACGUCCUACGGGAGAAAGCAGGGGAUCUUCGGACCUUGCGCUAAUAGAUGAGCCUAAGUCGGAUUAGCUAGUUGGUGGGGUAAAGGCCUACCAAGGCGACGAUCUGUAGCGGGUCUGAGAGGAUGAUCCGCCACACUGGGACUUGGACACGGCCCAGACUCCUACGGGAGGCAGCAGUGGGGAAUAUUGGAAAAUGGGGGGAACCCUGAUCCAGCCAUGCCGCGUGUGUGAAGAAGGCCUUAUGGUUGUAAAGCACUUUAAGCGAGGAGGAGGCUACUUUAGUUAAUACCUAGAGAUAGUGGACGUUACUCGCAGAAUAAGCACCGGCUAACUCUGUGCCAGCAGCCGCCGUAA